UGGAAGAUGCCAACACACCUGAAUCCUUAGUAUCCUUCGGUCAGCCAACACAAGAAUGGGAAGUUAGCCAACAACUUCGAGAUGCUAAUAUUCACCCAGACAGAACCCCCCAUUUUGAUACUAGAGAGCCAUCCCACAAAGUGUGUAUUAGGAGUGGCAGUGAAAUCAUCAAAUUACCUCACACUGGAGCGGAGGCUCAACCUACCAACCUACAGCAGUCUGCCUCCACUGCACAACAGGCUGCCCACACUAUCCAGGUCUCUGAUGCAUCUGCUCUACAGCUGUCUCCCAGGCGCUCGGCGAGAUUUAAAAAAACAGAUGUUUCUACGGAAAAACAUACACUUGUUCGCACCGCCAAGAACAUGGAGAAGGACAAAACCAAUGUCCCAAGCUUUGUGAACCCCAACCAAUUCGGAGCUCCUGGAAAUGUUCUGCAAUGCGGUCAACUACCAGUUAUCGUAAAGAGGAUCAGGAAGAGACCAUUGAAGAUCAUUUCUCCAUUUAAAUUACAUCCUGUUAAGUCUACCAUUUCUCUCAACCACGCCCGAAAACUCCGUGACAUAGUAAUCAACGACCUUGAUCUCAAAAAGACUGGACUUCUUGCUUACGAACCUUCUAAGUUAUAUCUUACUGGCAUGGAUCUCGCAAAAAGCUUCGGCGAUGGGGCAUCAAUGCUACCCAGCUUGAUGGAAUACUACAUAGACAUUCUGCGUCACGAUGAGAUUAAAUUAAGGCCC